GGCCAAUCUACACCCCAUGGCCAUUAAAAGUUGUACAAAUCAUGACGCUGCACCCCACGGUUUACGUUCUAGGGGGCGCCAAAGAUAACCCAAAAAUCCACAUUCUUAAAAGUCUAAUAACUUUUUAUUUUUGUCCUCACUGGCCUCCAAGUUUUCUAGGAUGAUGCAAUGUCCAGCCAUCAACACAUUUGUGAAGGAAUUUUUACCCCCAAAAGAGCGCCCCCCAUGGCAGGAGAAAAAAGUCCAUUUUUUCUUGUCCCCUAAGGUGAAAAUACAUAUUGUUGAGUGUCACGCCUAUACGCUUUGUCAUAUUGACACAAAAUUUGACACACACGUGUAUCUCAAUAAGAUCUACAAAAAAGUCUAUGCGCACGUAUCUGUCAAAUGUACGGUUAAAGGGUUAUUUCGCAUUUUUUGCCGAUCGCACACAUUGGAAUUUCGCUAACUCCUCCUAAAGCUUUCGUUCCACCGGCACCAAAUUUGCUCAGGCCAAUCUACACCCCAUGGCCAUUAAAAGUUGUACAAAUCAUGAUGCUGCACCCCACGGUUUACGUCCUAGGGGGCGCCAAAGAUAACCCAAAAAUCCACAGUCUUAAAAGUCUUAUAACUUUUUAUUUUUGUCCUCACUGGCCUCCAAGUUUUGUAGGAUGAUGCAAUGUCCAGCCAUCAACACAUUUGUGAAGGAAUUUUUACUCCCCAAAAGAGCGCCCCCCAUGGCAAGAGAAAAAAGUCCAUUUUUCUUGUCCCAUAAGGUGAAAAUACACAUUGUUGAGUGUCACGCCUGUACGCUUUGUCAUAUUGAAACAAAAUUUGACAAUCACGUGUAUCUCAAUAAGAUCUACGAAAAAGUCAAUGCGCACGUAUCUGUAAAAUGUACGGUUAAAGGGCUAUUACGCAUUUUUGAUCGAUUCGCACACAUUGGAAUGUGGCUGACUCCUCCUAAAGCUUUCGUUCCACCGGCACCAAAUUUGCUCAGGCCAAUCUACACCCCAUGGCCAUUAAAAGUUGUACAAAUCAUGACGCUGCACCCCACGGUUUACGUUCUAGGGGGCGCCAAAGAUAACCCAAAAAUCCACAUUCUUAAAAGUCUUAUAACUUUUAAUUUUUGUCCUCACUGGCUUCCAAGUUUUCUAGGAUGAUGCAAUGUCUAGCCAUCAACACAUUUGUGAAGGAAUUUUUACUCCUCAAAAGAGCGCCCCCCCAUGGCAGGAGAAAAAGUCAAGUUUUUCCUGCCCAUCGCUCAAUGGCUCAAACACAUGUCAUGUGUUCAAACUCCUCCGAAAGGAGGAGCAACUUGCCAUUUGGAUAUAUCCUAGCUGUGUUUGUGCCCUCACUCAUGGUCCAGACUUUUUUCAAAUAGGACAUGUAGUUUGUCUGCAGCGAGCGUUUUGGUAGAAACUGCGCCUCCCAUUCAUUAUAAUGGUAAAUGACCACAGACAAGUGCGAGCACCAUCUUUGGACCUUGAGUGUGACGCGAUCGGGAGGGAGAGGCGGUCGUGUUGGGGGCGGCGCGACACAGCUCGGGCCCGCCAGUGCCCCAACGGGGCCCUAGUUCUUCUUUUUCCUCCCCUUUGAACUGGAAAAUGGCCCACUUCCCACUGGCGAAAACUCAUGAAAUUUGGCAGGACGACCGGGCCUGGUGAAAAAUUCGAUAUUCUGAAGUCGCCCAAACAAUAAAAUGCAAAAUGGCUCCAUAGCGCCCCCUAAGGUGGAAAUUCACACUAUUGACUGUCACGCCUGUACGCUUUGUCAUAUUGACACAAAAAUUGACACACAUAUGUAUCUCAAUAAGAUCUACAAAAAAGUCAGUGCGGCCGUAUCUGUCAAAAUUACGGUUAAAGGGUUAUUUCGCAUUUUUUGCCGAUCCGCACACAUUGGAAUUUCGCUAACUCCUCCGAAGGCUUUCGUUCCACCGGCACCACAUUUGCUCAGGCCAAUCUACACCCCGUGGCCAUUAAAAGUUAUCAAAAUCAUGACGCUGCACCCCAAG
rnacentral:lncRNA from 1 species